rnacentral:lncRNA from 1 species
CCCAUUCCGAUUUCGAUUCCAAAUCUCCAUUCCCCUCAACCAAAUGCCCUUUAAGUAUUGGCUUAGACACAUUAAUGCUUCCUUUGAUAAAGCAGUUGAGCACAAUCAGCCUGCAGCAGGGCAUUGAGGUCAGAUGGUAGCAAAUCACCUGUGACAAAGGUACAAUCAGCUAUUAAGGCCUUACGAGCCAUAUAAUCCGUCAGCUGGUUGCUUCUCGACAAAUAUGUGAGACCUUAACCAAAGGCC